rnacentral:sRNA from 1 species
CAGUCCCUACCUAGGGCCAGGCAUGCUGGUUCAGGGAAGCUGUCUACCCAGGCUCUCUGGCCCUCCCUCCUCCCCUGCCCUUCUCUUUCUUUUCUCCUGGUCCUCACCAUCAGUCUCUGUCACAGAGAAACUACAGAAAGGCUUCCCUCUCCCGACGCCGGCCAGAGUCCAGCUCUACAAUGUAGUGCUUCAGCCUCACCAGAACUUCCUGCUGUUCGGUGCAGAUGUUGUCUAUAAAUGAAGGCACCAGGGGUGCCGGGGGCUGUCAGCCACACCUGUUCCUGAUGGGCUGUGGGGCACGGGCUGCCUUUCCCCAGG